CCGGUAAACAGAAGCCCAAGUGAUGCUCGUGUAGCAUCUCGCCAUGGAGCCAUCGGCCGAAACCGCCGGAGAAGAAGACCAGAGGCCGAAACCCUUGUUCCCUCUUUUCCCCAUCUCCUCAAAACCCUCGUCCUCCGAAGCCUCCCAAUGGCUCUCAAACCCUAGCUUCACCCUUGACCCCUCCUCCUUCCCCACUGCUCCUGCCCCUAUCCCUCCCGAUUCCGACGAUGAUGAUUCCACUGCCGAUGCCCCUGUUGCUCCGGCACCUCCAUCGUAUGAUCUUGUGGCUUCUUCCCCUUCCCCCUCCUCGUCAGAGCAAGCGGACGCGAGGAGAUUGAAGCGCGAUGACAAGAGGCGGAGGAGAAAGAAGCGGACGAGGGACCGGGAGAAGGAGGAUGAUGGCACUUCGAGGAAGUCUAGGGUUCGUGCUUGGGCGGGGUCGGAGACCAAGAUGGCCAAGGAUUACUACUUUGAUUCUCAUGGAGAUCGUGAUAAUCUAGUCUACGGGUCACUUUACAAGAUGGAUGUCGCAAGAUAUAGUCUUUACUACUAUUCGGAUUAUUCUACCUCUAAGCAUAUAUUGCUGUAUGGAUGGAGGCCUGGGUAUUCCUCUAUGGAUGUUGACAUAGACCUUGAUGUGUUAGAUAGCAAGUCCAGAGCAGGCGGGCGGUACUGUUCAGUGAAGUAUGCAGCCAUGGAGCGGCAUAAGAGCUUUAAGCGUGUUAAGAUUAUUAGGAAGAAGGCGCCUCUGGUUAGUCCUGGAGAGUUUAUCCCUUUAGUUGAGCUUCAAGAUUUGCCUGAAAAUGUUUGUUCAGUUGCCAAAGGAGAGGUCGUGGAAUCCUGGGAAGAUGAAGUAUUGAGGAGGACGAGAGAGUUCAACAAAAUGUCAAGGGAGUUUCCACAUGAUGAGAAAGUUUGGUUGGAUUUUGCAGAGUUUCAGGAUAAAAUUGCGAGUACACAACCGCAGAAAGCAGCACGUCUACAGAUGCUUGAGAAGAAAAUUAGUAUACUAGAGAAGGCUGUUGAGCUUAAUCCGGAAAAUGAGGACUUGUUACUUAGUCUUUUGAAAUCUUAUCAAGCAAGGGAUAGCACUGAUUCCCUUAUGAAUAGGUGGGAGAAAGCAUUGAUGCAGCAUUAUGAUAGCUGCAGGUUAUGGAAAGAGUUUUUACUUCUUCGCCAAGGGGAAUUUUCCAGGUUUAAGGUUUCUGACAUGAGGAGGGCAUAUGCCAAUGCUAUUCAGGCUCUUUCCUCAGCUUGCACUAAGCUUUGUAGGCAGGGUAGCCUAAAUCCCAUAUCACAACCGUCAGAUCCUGCCCUGGUUCAAGUAGAACUUGGUUUGGUUGAUAUAUUUAUCAGCCUAUGCAGAUUUGAGUGGCAAACUGGCCAUCAUGAAUUAGCCACUGGGCUAUUUCAAGCAGAGAUGGAGUUCAGUCUAUUUUCUCCAUCUUUAUCUGUAAGUUCACAUAGUAAGCUUAGACUUUUUGAGCACUUCUGGAACAGCAAUGGAGCUAGAAUUGGCGAGGAUGGGGCAGUUGGGUGGUCUACAUGGCUUCAGAAAGAGGAGGAAAACAGACAGAACAUUGUUAUGGUAGAGAGCACAGAAGAAGCUGAUGUUGGUGGCUGGACUGGUUGGCAUGAACCUUCAAAGAUUGAAGCUAGCAAAGAGCCUGAAAAUUCAAUAGAGCAUGGUGUGGGUGAAGAGGAGGCAGAAGACAACCAUGACACUGAAAAUAUCCCACUGAAGGAUGACAUUGGUACAUUAUUGAAAAAUCUGGGAAUCAAUGUGGAUGCUGAGCCACGUAGUGAGAUCAGAGAUGCAAAAACAUGGAAUAGAUGGUCCAUGGAGGAGUUGUCAAGGGAUUGUGAGCAAUGGUUGCCUGUUCGUGAACAUUCUGGUGAGGAUGGAAAAUCAAGGUGUCCCCAUUCAGGUGAUAAUUUAGACGAAGAAGCAGAAGAACAACUUUCAAGGGUUAUUUUAUUUGAAGAUGUUAAGGAGUACCUUUUCUCUUUGAGCUCAAAGGAGGCUCGUUUCUCUCUUGUGUCACAGUUCAUAAAUUUCUACGGUGGCAAGAUUUCCCGUUGGACAUGCACAAACAAUCCAAGCUGGAUAGAGAAACUCCUUAGCCUAGAGACACUGCCUGAUUCUGCUUUUGAAGGGACUCAACUUUCUGAGAUGUCAAAUAGAACAGGCUGUUCAAGCUACAUUAACCUGGCUGUUCUUUUGGGCGGAAAAAAUGAUUUGUCAAGGAAGUCCAGUGUGAUGCUAUUUCUCCGCAAUGCUAUUUUGCUUUGUCUUAAUAUCUUUCCACGCAAUUAUAUAUUGGAAGAAUCAGUCCUUGCAGCUGAAGAGAUCGUUAUGACAAAAAUGGAUUCGUCCACUGCUUCUGUGAACCCAUCACGUGGUUUAGCUAAAUCCCUCUUGAAAAAUGACCGACAGGAUUUGCUACUUUGUGGGAUAUACGCCCAAAGUGAGGCCUCAUUUGGGAACAUAGAUCUUGCAAGGAAGAUAUUCGACAUGGCAUUAUCUGCUGCUGAGGGACUACCAUUGGAUUUUCAGGAAAACAUUCCAAUUCUGUAUUUCUGGUAUGCCAAAAUGGAGCUGGCAAAAUCUACUUGGAGUAGUUCAGAUCCUUGCACCCAACGGGUGAUUCAUGUUUUAUCUUGUUUAGGUAGUAAUACAAAAUAUACUCCUUUCAAGUCGCAAACAUUGGGUUUUCAAAUCUUGAAAGCACGACAAGGAUUUAAAGAACAAAUAAAAUGCUUGCGCUCUACAUGGGCUCGUGGUGAUGUAAAGGAACAUUCUAUUGCUCUAGUCUGUUCAGCUUGUCUGUUAGAGAUCUUAACUACUGGUUUUUCUGCUGGUGUUCAAGUUAUAGAGGAGGCUUUCUCGUUGUCACUUCCAGAGAGAAGAAGCCGGAGUUUGGAACUUGAAUUCCUUUGGGUCUAUUAUAUUGGCAUUCUACAGAAGCAUCUUAAACAAUUGAAGUUUUCAAGAGUGUGGGAGAACAUUCAGCAUGGAUUGCAACUUUAUCCUAACAAUCCAGAAAUGUUGGACAUAAUGGUGGAAAUAAGUUAUUUUUCAACUGUGCCUAACAAAGUUAGGCUUGUAUUUGAUGAAUAUAUUGAAAGGAAACCAUCUGUGAUUUUGUGCCUCUUUGCUUUGUCUUAUGAACUGGCCAGAUCUGGCUCAAAACAUAGAAUUCAUGGUAUCUUUGAGAGAGCAUUAGCAAAUGACAAGUUGCAGAAAUCAGUGUUGUUAUGGCGCUGUUACCUUGCGUAUGAGUCAGAUAUUGCAUGCGAUCCUGAUGCAGCCAAGCGGAUAUUUUUUCGAGCUAUUCAUUCUUGCCCAUGGUCAAAAAGAUUAUGGCUAGAUGGGUUUCAGAAAUUGAGCACUAUAUUAACAGCAAAAGAACUAUCAGAUCUCCACGAAGUCAUGCAGGACAAAGAGUUGAACUUGAGGACUGACAUCUAUGAAAUUCUCCUACAAGAUGAGAUAGAACUGUAGCAUCUCCUUUCUCAACCACAACAGAUUGUUUGUUGUCCAUCUUCUAUGGUCUCUUGUAGAAGUCUGAAUAUUCUCUUAUUGCCUGGAGGGAUCAUUCAUGCACCCUUUCAGUAGUAAUUCUGCAUCUCAUUGGCCUAUUUCUACACCACCUGCAGUUGUACAAUAGAUGGUCCAGGCAAGCGGCCUUUGUGAAACAAAUCGUUAUACCAACCUCUGUAAAAGCUGCAAAACAUGCUGAGCAGUUGGAAGAUGGAACAGAGACUCCUGUUUGUAAAGAAACCAGUCCAUACAUAGAUUUCCAGGUCAGUGUGUGUUCUUGCACUUAGCAGCAGUAAGUCUAUUCACAAGCUUGUCAGUUUCUACUUGUCCAUUCCUUAUAUAAAAAACAUUUCAUGUGUGGUAGGUGGGCACAAUCAGAUAACAUUAUUUUGGUCAGUGUUUUUAACUACCAGGAUCACAGAAUGUUUAAUAUGAUGUGGAAAUGCCGAAAAAUAGUGUGAUGAUAAUCAAUUAUUAGAAUCAACAGCAUUUUUUUUUUUCUCCUAAACUA